rnacentral:rRNA from 1 species
GAGGUAUAAUGGUCGACGAAUGAACGAAGUUGCUCUCUGAUUUACCGGGCGUGACGGGAGUAACACGUGGAGCAACCUACCUUAUAGGGGGGAUAACUCCUGGAAACCGGGGCUAAUACCAAUAAUCUUUUCACUUCAUGGUGGAAAGACUGAAAGACGGUUCUCAUUGUACUUGGAUGGGCCCUUGGGGCUAUCCCCUUGGGGGGGCCAGUCCCAGGCCAUUUGCCCACCUUAAAGGGGGUUUUUGGGCUUGAUUUAAGGGCCCACUUCUGGGGGGGGAACGGGGAUUUUCCCCAAGGGAAAUUUUUGGGGAACCCCUUAAGGGGGGAAGGUUUGGGCUUAAACCCCUUUUAGGGAGGAAACUCCAAACCAAUCUUUCCCGGGGCCCCUUUGGGAAAACCGUUUUUUUAAGGGGCAAGGGGAGGAAAAACCUUGGGGGGGAUUGCCGAAAUUUGGGCCAAAGGUCCCCC